UGGGAAAACUCCACUCUCCGUAAUUAAUGACUGCUUUGCGAAUGAAUUGCCAUAAAAUGAGACAAGUUUUUUUUAAAGCAAAGGAUACAUAGGCUAUAUUUUAUAAUUAGGAAAAAAGUAGGCAAAAUUUAGGUAAAAUAAGAUUGCUUAUACAAUCUUUUGUGCUCAGAAAGAACACAGACUUACUUGAAAUGCGCUAACUUGUGAAUAUCGAUCUUUUGCGUUCUUCGGUAAAAAAGAAAUGGUUUUCAACAAGUACCAAAGGGACAACUGUGAGAUACAUAACCUCGGAAAAAUAGGAUGUAUAUUUUGCAAGGAGAUCCUUUGCUUGAAGUAAAAUCUCUGGCAGCUACCCAGGACUGAUGGCGAGGCGGGGGUGGUUCCUCCUCUGUGUUGUGGGCUCUGAAGGCUAAAGAAAGCUCUCUGCACCCAGACAAGAUGUGAUAGCCCUGUCUGUGUCCUUGCUCCAGUCCACCAUCAACCUCCUGUACGAUUGUCCCAGCAGAACAAUUCACUUUGGACACUGUGAUUCGGAUAAGGACGUCAGACCCUACACAGCAAGAGGUUAGAAAAAGUUUCUAGCGAGAAAGAAGUGAGAAGUUUGAAGACAUCUAAGAAGCAGAACAGAACAGGAGAAAGGACUGGAACUUCCAGGCUCUUUAACCUGCAAACCACAGACUAGACGUGCAAGAACCACUUCAUCUUACCUGGGACAGUAUCAAACCUACAGAUCAAGACCCGGAGCCCUGAGCACUACGUUGUCUUUCGAAGUCCAGCUUUCAUUUCAAAAAGCUGCUAUUCUGAUCCUUUGGCAAGGUGCACUCAGGAGUGCCGUGGAGCAGGCGGAGGAAGACCUAAUGUGUUAUGGAGUAUUUGACAUGUCCAAUUGCAUCUUUCCUUCCGAAGGAACCGAAGGCAUUCCACGGGUGCACGAACUUCUUUUAAUUAACUAUCUGAGGUAAAGAAACCUCCACCGUCUUCCCAGAGGCUAAGUUGCCAAAGCAAACCGGAGCAGGUUGGUCUGCCCUCUCUGGUUCUGAUAGUUCUGUUCUCGUGGUUCCAGUACGGAUCUGUGGGUGGUAGAAUCAAAGUUAAAUCCCUUUUACACUGAGUCAGAGCUUGCAGAAAAACACCCUUAUCGCUGCACUUUACAGUAGUGUAGGCUGUGGAUUUCUCUAAGUCUUUCCAGGUAGAAUUACUUCUAUUUUCUACUUAGUUGUGGAAUACUUACAUAGUUGUCUGGGAGAAUAAGACAGUUUUUAGGCUAGGCAUUAGGAAUCUGGAAGCCUGACUCCAUUCAUCUUCUCUUACCUAGCUUUGUAAUGUUAGUCUUUUCACAUGUAUUUAAAAAGCUGGAAAAAACCUAAAACGCAAAUAUCUUAAGUCACAUACAGUGUUGAAGCCCGCUUAUGGGGCUGUCCCAAAUCCUUGAUGAAUAUGGAGUUCUUGACUAACAUUUUAAUGAAAGAUAAGCAGGAAAAGGUGAGUCAGAAAGAGUGUUGAUGGCCUAUGUGCCUUUAGUGAAUUUUAGAACGCUACUAUUCUGCGGUCAAGAAAUUAAAAUCUGCUGUGCAUCCAGGGAAAGUUAAGGAGGAGAGCAAUAACGCAGCUGCUCAAGCAGAAGAAAUCCAAGGUUAAUAGUGGUAGCUUUGCCUUAGGCGUGAAGUGGCAGAAAGUAAGUGAAAGCUGGUUUAGAGUAAGAUUUUAGAGGUUGCUUUGCUGUUCUAACUUCUCCGGUAAAUUAAGAAAAAAGUAUUAUUAAAAUGUGGCUCUGUUAUGACACACAGUUAGCGAGACCUGUGUUUAAUUCUCAGUAACUACUAUAUCUGCUAGAUUUAUUAAUAAAAAGUCAGCCACGUAGUCAUGGAUUGUUAAAUCUGGCCAGUAUGGCUUGCAGCGCGUUGGGCACCAAGCGAAAAUCCUGCCAGGCGAAUUCCACACCGAACUCCCGUCACGGCACUUCUCACUGCGGUUCACACUCUGCCCUCAGCAAUAACUCCGCAGCACCAGAAGUCUCAGAGGGUAUGGAAAGGCGUGUCGAGGGCGAUGAAGUUUAGCUCUGCAUCUGAAAACCGCUGAAGGGAGGGGGACGGGAGAAAUUACAGAAUACAAACUGGAUUCUGUAAGAGCUGUAAUGUUGUGUAUAAGAAAAUGUUAUUAAAUGAUCUGUUUUCACUAAAUGAGGGCGUA